GUGAGUUUUCAUGGAUGCCAGGAGGAAAAAAAACAAGAAAUAGAAAAAACACAUCCAAAAUGUAGCUUUUGUCUCUCUGUGUUUCAUACAUUUCCUUCAAUUGGCAAGAGGCUAAAUGUAUCUCACCAGAGAAAGGAUCCAAGUUAAUGAAACAGUGCCCCUCUGUUUCUGUAUGUGUAGCCUAUCUAUGCUGUCAGGUCAAAAAGAGUAUGACAUUGUUGCCAGCAAGCAUUUGGCCUCCCUUGACCUAUAAACAAAUAUAAAUAAUAGCCAAUCAGCGGACGGUGUCGGGAACAAACAUCCGGUUAUCAGGGCUCCUCCCAGGGUUUGGCUGGGAAAGCUGCGCCUCACGGACAUGCUUCCCUAUUCCCUAGCUGAGUGCCGUCGCCAGGCAUGAAGUGGGAAGGAUCGUCUCGGGUUCCAGGAUAGCAGUCAUGGGGUUAUAGUGCAUCCGGCUUGACAUUAUUGGAUCCCAGCUUGCCUGGAGUUGAGGCGCUUGGCGGUGUGGAGAUACUCCAUUUUCUUGUGGUCAGUCCACAUAAUGUACGGAUGUUCCGCCCCCUCCAGCCAGUGCCUCAAAUUCCUCCAACGCCAUCUUCACCAUGAGAAGCUCCCGAUUCCCCACAUCGUAAUUCCUUUCCGUGGCAUUGAGGAGAUAGGAGAAUAAGGUGCAGGGAUGUAGCUUGAGGUCAAGGGCAGAAUGCUGGGACAGGGACAACCCCCACUCUGACGUCUGAAGCAUCGGCCUCCACCACAAACUGAUGUGAUGGGUCCGGAUGAACCAGGAUGGGAGCUGUAUUGAAGUGAUGUUUGAGGUCCCGGAACGCCCGGUUAGCAACUGGGGAACACGUGAACGGAAUCUUGGGCAAGGUGAGUGCUGACAGAGGGGAAGCCCGAGUGCUGUAAUCCUGGAUAAAGCGGUGAUAGAAAUUGGCAAACCCCAGGAAACGUUGCAGCUGCACCCUGGAUGUAGGCUGAGGCCAAUCCACCACUGCUCUCACCUUCCUGGGAUCCAUCUGGACACUCCCAUUAGAGAUGAUGUAACCCAGAAAGGGGAUGGAGGAGCUAUGGAACUCACACUUCUCCGCCUUCACAAACAGCUGAUUCUCCAGAAGGCUUUGAAGGACCUGCCGGAUGUGGAGCAUGUGUUCUUGAGGAGAGCUGGAGAAGACAAGGAUGUCAUCAAUGUAGACGAAGACGAACCGGUUCAACAUGUUGCUGAGAACAUCAUUCACCGGAGCCUGGAAAACAGCAGGGGCAUUGGUGAGGCCAAAAGGCAUGACCAGAUACUGGUAGUGGCCACUGGCCGUGUUGAAGGUGGUCUUCCACUCAUCCCCCUCUCGAAUCAUCCCCAGGUGGCAGGUGUUCCAUAGAUCCAGAUUGGAAAACACAGUGGCCCGCUGGAGUGGCUCGAAGGCCGAGGAGAUGAGUGGUAAUGGUAAUGUUUUUUUACCGUAAUGUUGUUGAGUCCCCGGUAGUCAAUGAAGAAGAACCCUGCACCAGCGGGAUAGGAAGAGGGACAAAUAAAUCCAGCAGCUAUGGAGACCCCAAUGUAGAUAUCCAUAACCUUGAUCUCCGGUCCCAACAGAAAGUACAGAUGUCCACAGGGCGGCGUGGUGCUAGGUAGAAGGUCAAUCACGCAGUCGUAGGGUUCAGUGCAGCGGAAGCGACGUGGCCCGGGCCUUGCUGAACACCUCCCGGAGGUCCCGGUAUUCCGCGGGAAUGGCGAAGAUGUCCGGGGCACCUUCCGAGCCCCCAGGAAGACGUCCUGGGGCAGGUUGUGCUGACUUCAGGCAAUGGGUAUGGCAAAACGGGCAAGUUGAUGAGGGGAUUGUGUCAUUGGAGCCAGGAAAAUCCCAAUAGCUUGGGAAUCAGAGGGGAUUUGAUGAGCAGGAACUGGAUGGCCUCGCUGUGGUUCCCUGACACCCGUAGGUGGAGUGGGAGUGGUGUUGUGGGUGACUCGGCCUAUAGAGUGCCCGUCCAGCGCUCUAACAUCCAUGGGAAUGGAGAGGGGCUGAGUAGGGAUGUUCAGCUACGAUGCCAGGGUAUUGUCUAAAAAACUCUCAUCGACCCCAGAGUCUAUGACAACCCAGAGUGAUUUGAACUGCUCUCCCCACAGCAGAAUGGCAUGAAAAAGGGUGCGAGCACGGGAAGCAGUAACGUUCUCCAUAUGGCCCACCAUAGUCCUUCCUCCUACCGGUGAGCCUGGAUUCUUUAGAGGACAAGAGGACACGAAAUUACCAGGAGUCCCGCAAUACAGACAACUCUUUGUGUCGAUCCUGUAUUGCCAUUCUGCUGGCAACAGACCAGCUCUGCCAAUGGCAUAGGCUCAGGAAGCUGUGACUCUGCAGUCUCGGCAGCUCUCUUGGCAGGUCGGGAAGCCUCAGGUCCUCCCGACAACAAAACCAUCGGGAGCUACCGGGUUGACUCAGAGGCCAGGUGGGAUCCCUGGGCGUGCGAGCGAAAUCAAAUUUCCUCUCCCUCUGUCGUUCCCGUAGUCGCCCAUCAAUUCAGAUGGUCAAAGAGAUGAGAGAAUCGAGUUCCGCAGGUAACUCCCGAUCAGCAAGCUUGUCCUUGACCUCCUCCAGGACAGCGUGCAAGAACAUAUCGAACAGUGCUUCCUGGUUCCUAGCACUCUCUGCUACCAACAUGUGUAAAUCCACCGCAUGGUCAGCCACACUGCAGGAGCCCUGCCGAAGAUGGAUUAGCCUCCGGGAAGCCUCUCUCCCAGAGUAUGGGGCUUAAAAAAUCUUCUUCACCUCUGCCACGAAUCCCUCCAGACAAAUGCAUAUGGCCCGGCCGCUGUAGUUCAGGUGAGAGCCCUCCUGGACAUCAGCGUGAUGAGAUAGUCUAUCUUGGAGUGAUCCGAGGGGAAGGAGGAGGGCUGAAGCUCGAAAAUGAGGGCACACUGAGCUAGAAGCGCCUGACAGGUACUGGACUACCCAAGCAUGGGGCCCAGUAAAUGGGGCUCCCGAGAAGGUGGAGUGGCCGAUGAGACGGCCCUGCUAGCAGCUGGGUUACUGAGAGGCUGUGGCAUUACCACCGUGGUAGGCUGCCUCCCAGACAACCCGUGGAAUUGCUCCAGCAAACCAUCCAAUGCCCGGUCAUGGCGUUCAGCCAACAUUUGAACCCCCUCAAUAAGGCCAUGAAGAAGUUCCUCAUACUCCCGAUGGUGGCUCCUUGGGAGGUGAUGGCGUCGCGCAGCUGGCCGGGUCUGCUGGGUCAGUCAUGGCCAGUUCAUACUAUCAGGAAAAAGGGUGCACGAUGUAUCUCGGCAGACUCUGUGCGGCCGGUUGACAGAUGGUUGUCGC
ensembl:lncRNA